rnacentral:rRNA from 1 species
ACGGCGAGUGAAGCGGCAAAAGCUCAAAUUUUAAAGCUGGCAUCUUCGGUGUCCGCGUUGUAAUUUUGUGAGGCAUCUCCGGGUAGGGCGCCGGCCUAAGUUCCUUGGAACAGGACGUCACAGAGGGUGAGAAUCCCGUGCUUGGCUGGCUGUCCCCGUCCAUGUGAGGUGUCUUCGACGAGUCGAGUUGUUUGGGAAUGCAGCUCAAAAUGGGUGGUAAAUUUCAUCUAAAGCUAAAUAUUGGUGGGAGACCGAUAGCGCACAAGUAGAGUGAUCGAAAGAUGAAAAGCACUUUGAAAAUAGAGUUAAAAAGUACGUGAAAUUGUUGAAAGGGAAGCGCUUGAGACCAGACUUCGGUAGGGAGUGAUCAGCCGUCCUUCUGGGCGGUGCACUUGCCCCCCUCCGGGCCAGCAUCGGUUGAGGCGGCGGGAUAAAUGUCCCGGGAAUGUGGCUCCUUCACGGGAGUGUUAUAGCCCGGGUGAAUGCCGCCAGUCUCGACCGAGGACCGCACCCGCAAGGGUUAGGAUGCUUG